rnacentral:rRNA from 1 species
UACGUAGGGGGCAAGCGUUGUCCGGAUUUAUUGGGCGUAAAGAGCUCGUAGGCGGCUUGUCGCGUCGUCCGUGAAAACCUGCGGCUCAACUGCAGGCUUGCGGUCGAUACUGCCGGACUAGAGUUCGGAAGAGGCGAGUGGAAUUCCCGGUGUAGCGGUGAAAUGCGCAGAUAUCGGGAGGAACACCUAUGGCGAAGGCAGCUCGCUGGGACGUUACUGACGCUGAGACGCGAAAGCGUGGGGAGCAAACAGG